rnacentral:rRNA from 1 species
AUCUGAAGUCAAGCAAGAGCACGCGCUGAACUUAAGCAUAUCACUAAGCGCAGGUAAAAGAAAAUAACUAUGAUUGCCUCAGUAACGGCGAGUGAACCGGCAAUAGCCCAAGAUGAGAAUCGCUGCUCUGCGAGCACGCGAGUUGUAAUCUAAAGGGUGGUCACUGACUGGUUCUUCUGACGCCCAAGUGUCUUGGAAUAGACCGCCAGGGAGGGUGAAAGCCCCGUACGGUGUCGGAGGAACGCUAGGUGGCCGCUUGAAGAGUCGAGUUGUUCGGGACUGCAGCUCUAAGUGGGAGGUAGACUUCUCCUAAGGCUAAAUAACUAUGAGAGACCGAUAGCGAACAAGUAAUGUGAAUGAAAGAUGAAAAAUAAAUUUCCUUCCGUAAGAACUUUGAAUGAACAAAAGAGAAUUAAAGAGACCUGAAACCGUUGAGGUGGAAGCGAUAGGAAGUUUUCAUUUGGUUGGGAGCUGGCAAAACGGAUUCGUCUGUGAGUUUGCUCCCGGCCGAAGCGGUUGUUUGCCUUUGGGCGCCUCAGAAACCCAUCUGGGCCAGAGCUUCGGCAUCACUUAGAUGGAGAAUGUUGCGGCUGAGGGCAAGGAACCUUUGAUGUUUUCCUACCGACUCGUCUUGAAACACGAACCAAGGAGUCUAACAGACAUGCGAUUAUGUUGGUGCUUUGAAAACCAUACAUGAGCAAUGAAAGUAAGCGGUGCCAAUCGUAAGAUGCAGCAUCGGCCAGUUGUGAUCCUCUGGAGAAGCGUACUGGCUGUGAGCAUAUCUGUUAGGACCCGAAAGAUGGUGAACUACGCUUGAGUAGGGUGAAGCCAGGGGAAACUCUUGUGGAAGCCCGAAGCGGUACUGACGUGCAAAUCGUUCGUCAAACUUGAGUGUAGGGGCGAAAGACUAAUCGAACCAUCUAGUAGCUGGUUCCCUCCGAAGUUUCUCUCAGGAUAGCAAGGACAAUUAAAGCAGUUUUUAUUUCAAUUAGGUAAAGAAUAAAUGAUUAGAAGCAUCUGGGGGUUUUAUUAGUGCUCUCGACUUAGUUCUCAAACUCUAAAUAUUUGUAAUAACUCGGUAUUCCUUAACUGAAGAUCGAGGCAGAAUGCUUGUCCUUAGUGGGCCAUUUUUGGUAAGCAGAACUGGCGAUGAGGGAUGAACCUAACUCUGGGUUAAGGUGCCAAACUGCACGCGCAUCAGAUACCUCAAAGGGUGUGUUGAUUCAUUUAGACAGCAGGACGGUGGCCAUGGAAGUCGGAAUCCGCUAAGGAGUGUGUAACAACUCACCUGCCGAAUGAAUUAGCCCCGAAAAUUUUGAUGGCUCUCCAGCGUGCGACCGAUACCCAGACAUUGCAGCGAAAUUUUGACUGCAAUGAGUAGGAGAGGGCGUAGGCGUCUUGUCGAAGCUUUGAGCGUGAGCCUGAGUCGAAAGGCGUCUAGUGCAGAUCUUGGUGGUAGUAGCAAAUAUUCAAAUGAGAACUUUGAAGACUGAAGUGGAGAAAGGUUCCAUGUGAACAGCAAUUGGACAUGGGUUAGUCGAUCCUAAGAG